ensembl:lncRNA
GGGUGCUAGAGCUGGCAGCUCCAGUACCUUAACUAAUUGUUCUCAUCUUUCUGAUGGACAUGGGUGAGAAAACACAAGAGAUAGGUACCUGAACCAACAUAGGGUUGCUGAAGAUGUCAGCCCAGACCUUAUUCCCCCAUCCUAACAUCACUCAGAUUUUCCCCUGACCAUGUCACUCAUAAUGAUGUCCUGGUUCCACAUAGCCUGCAUGCCCUGGCAUGCACAUUGAAGCCUCAGCCACUGUCCCUGCCUCUUGCCUGGCUCCCUCCGUCUGCAUCUUGGUGCUGCCCUUUCGCCUGCAGCUCAUGUUGGAUACCUGGAUGCUGAGGUGCACAGAUUGUUUUCCCUCAGCCUUCAGUGCCUGCCAACCUCCAGCCAUUAGCUAAAGGUAUCUGCAUAGUUCCCAGCAUCAUCUUCCUCCCCUGGAAUGAUGGGGACUGGCACUAUGCACAGUCCCUUCUGUGACCACACCCAUCAGCUGUAUGACUACAGAGUGGGGGUCCCAGGAAGAAGGCUGAGGAAGGAACAAAGCUGGAGGGCCAAAGGGACCCCUGGGCACAGAGACAGCUGUCUGCAAAUUACUUGUGCCUUACCACCUCCUCUGCCAGGGUCACCUGUGGGCCACUUCGCAGCCAUAAACUCAGACCAAGCUGUGUUCUUCUAAGGCAAAGGGCUCGCUGAAUGGGAGACCUCAUGACAAGCAGAGAGGGGUCUUUGGAGGGAUCUUUCUCCUUUGUCCCACCUGCUGAGAAAAAGCAGGGUCCCACUGCAAAUGCCCAAUUCCUCUUCCUAAGAGAAUCCAGGACCAGGAGCCAACUUGAGAAGGACAAUGGCCAGAGAACAGCCACUGACUCCAGCAUUCAGCCUGUGCCAGGUGGCACCACCCAUGUCUGGAAUCAGAAACAGUUCUGUUCUUGGCUUCCCCAAGUGUUGUCCUGGUCACCAACCUCCUGGUCACCUCUGGCAUGCAUUGCCACCUGCUGGCUACCAGCCCAUGGCCAUGUGCUCUAAUAUUGACUUUCUGAACCCCAAGCUCUGUUACUAGCAACAUCAGAGGGCCACCACCAACACUGCAAGUACCAUGCAGGCCUCCUCAUUUAUCAUCUCCCGGCUGCCAGCCUCUGUCAGCCACCAAGCUUGCAGGUGUUCAGGUUCCUAGGCUGACUCAGGCCAUCCAGGUCCUUAGUUCUGAAUCUGCAAGGCCAGGAGUCCGUCCAUCUUCAGGACCCUGAGCUCAGCCUGCACCAGCUUACUUCUGAAGGAGGGCAGAGUCUCCUGUGUGGGCCAGGUUGUCUUCAACUUCACUGAUUUUUAAUCACAUUUUUAUUUAUUAUUUCGUGUGUGUGUGUGUGUGUGUGUGUGUGUGUGUGUGUGUGUGUGUGUGUGUGUGUGUGCAUGUGUCCCCAUGUACAUGUGGAGAUAGUGAACAACCAGUGGGAAUCACUUAUCUCCCUCUGUGAGGAUCCCAGAGAUCAGACGCAGGUCAUCAGGCUGGGUAGCGUCUUCUGAAUCUUCUCACUGGUCCUAGACUCACUAGGUUCCACCUUUUAAUUCUGAUUUUCCUCCCUUCACUUCCCAAGGGCUGGGAUUAUGGAUGUGUUUCACCCUGCCCAAUUUAAAACACAUACUUAAAAACCAGAACCUGCAGGGCGCUGGUGGCCCACACC